GAAAUGCGAAAUGCAAUGCGAAUUGCAGAAUCCGUGAGUCAUCAGAUCUUCGAACGCAAAUUGCUCCGGAGGGCUCUCCUUCCGGCAUGUUUGUUUCAGUGUGUUGGUUGCUAUCAAGAAAAUAAAUGCGAUUGAGUUUCUUUCGCUAAAGAUGAAUUUGUAAACAAUGGUCAUCUCGUAUGAUUUGUUUAUGAGUAAUCAUAAAUUCUUCGAUCGGCACCUGAAAUCAAGCAAGAUCACCCGCUGAACUUAA
rnacentral:misc_RNA from 1 species